AUUGAACGCUGGCGGCAGGCUUAACACAUGCAAGUCGAACGGUAACAUGAAGAAGCUUGCUUCUUUGAUGACGAGUGGCGGACGGGUGAGUAAUGCUUGGGAAUCUAGCUUAUGGAGGGGGAUAACUACGGGAAACUGUAGCUAAUACCGCGUAGAAUCGAGAGAUGAAAGUGUGGGACCUUCGGGCCACAUGCCAUAGGAUGAGCCCAAGUGGGAUUAGGUAGUUGGUGAGGUAAAGGCUCACCAAGCCGACGAUCUCUAGCUGGUCUGAGAGGAUGACCAGCCACACUGGGACUGAGACACGGCCCAGACUCCUACGGGAGGCAGCAGUGGGGAAUAUUGCGCAAUGGGGGCAACCCUGACGCAGCCAUGCCGCGUGAAUGAAGAAGGCCUUCGGGUUGUAAAGUUCUUUCGGUAGCGAGGAAGGCAUUUAGUUCAAUAGACUAAGUGAUUGACGUAACUACAGAA
rnacentral:rRNA from 1 species